GGGGGGCAAGCGUUGUUCGGAAUUACUGGGCGUAAAGGGCUCGUAGGCGGCCACCUAAGUCAGACGUGAAAUCCCUCGGCUUAACCGGGGAACUGCAUCUGAUACUGGAUGGCUUGAGUUCGGGAGAGGGAUGCGGAAUUCCAGGUGUAGCGGUGAAAUGCGUAGAUAUCUGGAGGAACACCGGUGGCGAAGGCGGCAUCCUGGACCGACACUGACGCUGAGGAGCGAAAGCCAGGGGAGCAAACGGG
rnacentral:rRNA from 1 species